GCAAGCAGCAGGCACGCAUCGGGCCGCUAAAGCGAGCGUUGCCCUCCGAAGGCAAAGGUCACAGGUUCGAACCCUGUCGGGUGCGCCA
rnacentral:tRNA from 1 species